GUUCGAACCAAAAAAGCACUUCUUACACAUGCAUUUUUCAGGACAGACUCUGAACAAAUUAGGAGUUUCAAUAUCAAAGAUAUAAUCCAUGUAGCAGCGGAUGCAUUAAGGGAAAUACAUCUGCAAUAGCACCUCUGCUUUCCCCAUUAUCAGAGCAAUUUAAGUACGUACUUUCAAUAAUUCAUCGGAAGAUAAUGAUUUUACGGACAACAAACUCCUAUAUACCAAAUUUCAA
rnacentral:misc_RNA from 1 species